rnacentral:rRNA from 1 species
AACGUAGGAGGCGAGCGUUAUCCGGAUUCACUGGGCGUAAAGCGCAGGUAGGCGGCUCGGCAAGUCGGUUGUGAAAGCCCCUGGCUCAACUGGGGGAGGUCAGCCGAAACUGUCGGGCUUGAGGGUCCGAGAGGAAGGUGGAAUUCCCGGUGUAGCGGUGGAAUGCGUAGAGAUCGGGAGGAACACCAGUGGCGAAGGCGGCCUUCUGGCGGACUCCUGACGCUGAGAGGCGAAAGCGUGGGUAG